CUGGUGGUAGUAGCAAAUAUUCAAAAGCGAACUUUGAAGACUGAAGUGGAGAAAGGUUCCGUGUGAUCAGUAAUUGGACACGGGUGAGUCGAUCCUAAGAGAUAGGAUAAUUCCGUUUGAAAGCUUGGUUGUUUGGGGCGUGGGGUUUUACCUCGUGUUUUGUAUGCAAYCUCGUGAUCGAAAGGGAAUCAGGUUAAUAUUCCUGAACCGAGAAGUGGAUAAUAUGUGGUAACACAACCGACCCAGGAGACGUUAGCGUGGACCCAGGGGAGAGUUCUCUCUUCUUUUUAACAAGCAUGUCCUACCUUGGAAACGGAUUAUCCGGCGAUAAGGAGGAUCCCUUGGCAAAGCACUUUAUUUUUUGAAGUGUCCUGUGUGUUCAUGGUAGCCCUUGAAAAUCCUGGUUAGAGAUUUAUUCGCACCCUCGUUCGUACUCAUAACCGCAUCAGGUCUCCAAGGUGAGCAGCCUCUAGUUGAUAGAAGAAUGUAGAUAAGGGAAGUCGGCAACAUAGAUCCGUAACUUCGGGAUAAGGAUUAGCUCUGAGGGUUGGGUUUGAGGGUCUUUUUGGAGAACUUGUUGUGACCUACGUUAGACUGCGACUGGACCCUUCGGGGACCGGAUGCGGACCGACGGUCGGGAUGCUCUCGUUGUGCCAGAAAGAAAGGUGGAUGGCUUUCGGGCUGACUACUGUUUCCUUGAGCGUUGAACAACUGUCUCAGAACUGGAGCGGACAAGGGGAAUCCGACUGUUUAAUUAAAACAAAGCAUUGUGAUGGCCGGAGACGGUGUUGACACAAUGUGAUUUUGCCNNU
rnacentral:rRNA from 1 species